UCAGCUGCCUCUUGCACAACCCCUACCGGGGAUGUGCCCGCAACCAAGGUACAUGCCUUUGACCGGAAUCGAACCUGGGACCUUUCAGUCUGCAGGCCGACGCUCUAUCCACUGAGCCAAACCGGUUUUGGCUGCUCUCAAGGUUCUUAAAGUCAGUGAGGAGAGAAUUCAGACCCCCAAAGUAAGGUCAUUAACAGAACCUAGGGAUGUGACCAGGAAGUGCCAACCCCAAAGAUAAAACCAUCCACUGGAGAGGCUUCCUGUCAACUGAAAAGUUUUCCUAAUGUAACCCAUCCUACAAUGUAUCGGUAGGAAUUAAUGUCUCAGGCCACAAUAUCAACUGUUUUUAUGUGAUCUGUAAAAUACUUCUGAAGUUCUGAAAUGCUUUGAACAACAGCAUUACCAUUGUUUCAAAAUGGUGCUCUUUCUCUCAUUACUCUUCAUGAAUGUCACCAACUGUUAGAAAAGCCACUGCCUUUUGCAAUAAAAUAAAAUGUUCAUCUCAA